CAGUCGCCACGGUAAUACGUAGGUGGCAAGCGUUGUCCGGAAUUAUUGGGCGUAAAGGGCUCGCAGGCGGUUUCUUAAGUCUGAUGUGAAAGCCCCCGGCUCAACCGGGGAGGGUCAUUGGAAACUGGGAAACUUGAGUGCAGAAGAGGAGAGUGGAAUUCCACGUGUAGCGGCGAAAUGCGUAGAGAUGUGGAGGAACACCAGUGGCGAAGGCGACUCUCUGGUCUGUAACUGACGCUGAGGAGCGAAAGCGUGGGGAGCGAACAGGAUUAGAUACCCCGGUAGUCCCUGUCUCUUAUAU
rnacentral:rRNA from 1 species